CGAUGAGUGCUAGGUGUUGGGGGGUUCCACCCUCAGUGCUGAAGUUAACACAUUAAGCACUCCGCCUGGGGAGUACGACCGCAAGGUUGAAACUCAAAGGAAUUGACGGGGGCCCGCACAAGCAGUGGAGCAUGUGGUUUAAUUCGAAGCAACGCGAAGAACCUUACCAGGUCUUGACAUCCUCUGACAAUCCUGGAGACAGGACGUUCCCCUUCGGGGGACAGAGUGACAGGUAGUGCAUGGUUGUCGUCAGCUCGUGUCGUGAGAUGUUGGGUUAAGUCCCGCAACGAGCGCAACCCUUGAUCUUAGUUGCCAGCAUUUAGUUGGGCACUCUAAGGUGACUGCCGGUGACAAACCGGAGGAAGGUGGGGAUGACGUCAAAUCAUCAUGCCCCUUAUGACCUGGGCUACACACGUGCUACAAUGGACGGUACAAAGGGCAGCAACACCGCGAGGUGAAGCGAAUCCCAUAGAGCCGUUCUCAGUUCGGAUUGCAGGCUGCAACUCGCCUGCAUGAAGCCGGAAUUGCUAGUAAUCGCGGAUCAGCAUGCCGCGGUGAAUACGUUCCCGGGCCUUGUACACACCGCCCGUCACACCACGAGAGUUUGUAACACCCGAAGUCGGUGGGGUAACCUUUAUGGAGCCAGCCGCCGAAGGUGGGACAAAUGAUUGGGGUGAAGUCGUAACAAGGUAGCCGU
rnacentral:rRNA from 1 species